UGAGUACGAGCGGCUACGGCCGCGAAGUGGAUGAUGUCAAGCUUCCAAGAAAAGCCCUAUACCCGUUAAGGCAUGAUGGCCUGUACCCGAAACCGACACAGGUGGGGUGGUAGAGAAUACCGAGGGGCGCGAGGUAACUCUCUCUAAGGAACUCGGCAAAAUGGCCCCGUAACUUCGGGAGAAGGGGUGCCACCGCGAGGUGGUCGCAGUGAAGAGGCCCAGGCGACUGUUUACCAAAAACACAGGUCUCCGCUAAGUCGCAAGACGAUGUAUGGGGGCUGACGCCUGCCCAGUGCCGGAAGGUUAAGGAAGCUGGUCAGCGCAAGCGAAGCUGGCGACUGAAGCCCCGGUGAACGGCGGCCGUAACAAUAACGGUCCUAAGGUAGCGAAAUUCCUUGUCGGGUAAGUUCCGACCCGCACGAAAGGCGUAACGAUCUGGGCGCUGUCUCGGAGAGAGGCUCGGCGAAAUAGAAUUGUCUGUGAAGAUGCGGACUACGUGCACCCGGACAGAAAGACCCUAUGAAGCUUUACUGUAGCUUGGUAUUGUGCUCGGGCUCGGAAUGCGCAGGAUAGGUGGGAGGCUUUGAUCCAUUGCUUGCGGGUGAUGGUGAGCCACUGGUGAGAUACCACUCUUUCCGAGCUAGAGUUCUAACAGCAACCCGUUAUCCGGGUGCUGGACAGUAUCAGGUGGGCAGUUUGACUGGGGCGGUCGCCUCCUAAAAGGUAACGGAGGCGCGCAAAGGUCUGCUCAGGCUGGUUGGAAAUCAGCCGACGAGUGUAAAAGCAGAAGCAGGCUUGACUGUGAGACCUACAAGUCGAACAGGGAGGAAACUCGGCUUUAGUGAUCCGACGGUUCUGCGUGGAAGGGCCGUCGCUCAACGGAUAAAAGUUACUCUAGGAUAACAGGCUGAUCUCCCCCAAGAGUUCACAUCGACGGGGAGGUUUGGCACCUCGAUGUCGGCUCAUCGCAACCUGGGGCUGAAGUCGGUCCCAAGGGUUGGGCUGUUCGCCCAUUAAAGCGGUACGCGAGCUGGGUUCAGAACGUCGUGAGACAGUUCGGUCCAUAUCCGGUGCACGCGCAGGAAUAUUGAGAGGAUUUCUCCCUAGUACGAGAGGACCGGGAGGAACGCACCUCUGGUGUGCCAGUUAUCGUGCCAACGGUAAACGCUGGGUAGCCAUGUGCGGAGUGGAUAACCGCUAAAAGCAUCUAAGUGGGAAGCCCACCUCAAGAUGAGUAUUCCCAUGGCAUAAGCCAGUAAGGUCACGGGAAGAACACCCGUUGAUAGGCUCUACGUGGAAGCGCAGUAAUGUGUGAAGCGGAGGAGUACUAAUAGACCGAGGGCUUGACC
rnacentral:rRNA from 1 species